UUUUGUCACGCUGAACAACACGCCCAUAAUUUUUUACUACGUGUGAGAACUUCUUCAUGUGAGCUUAACCACAGGCUUUGUGAAAUGUUGUGCAUCAAAAGAAGUGUGACAGCAGCUUAUCAUCCUCAAACGAAUGGCCUGGAUGAAAAGACCAACGACAACAUUAAACGUAAUGAAGGUCUGGGCUGCAAAUGUCACUGGUCAGGUUGAAGCAGUUGUUGGGCCAUAUAAGCUCUAUGACUCUUCUUUUCACUCACUGCAAGGGACCGAGUGGCUUUCUGAUGAAAACCACAUACACCAGCUUUGUGCAGUUGUUGCUCGUUCGUUGUUUGCUGGACAGUUCAGAUGCCUAGGGAAGAUGAAGUUUCCCAUUGAGGACAUUUGGCUGUGCCCUGUGAAUGUUGGAGCACAUUGGAUUCUUGUGGUGUGUGUGUAUUUGUCAAAAUUAUCAACAUGCCUGAAAAAACGCUCCUUCUGAUUGACCCAAUGGGAAAUGAAUGUUCUUAUGGACAUAAAAUUCUGCGGAACUGGAGGUAACCUUGUUAGAACUGUUUCAUCUUUUUUUAAUUCUUUUUUUUUUAAUGCUAUUCGAUUCUAAACAGUACAAAGGUCUCGACCACAUAGGAAUUUUUUAAAACUGAGGUGUGAUGGGCAAACAGCCCAGUGGCAAUUACGGACCCUGAAGCACGACCAGCAGAUGGAUUCCAGCAGUUGUGGAGUAUUGGUAUUGAAUUUUGCUGAACGAUACCUGCUGACAGGAACGAUCAGCGAUGUUCAGACUACGCCUGAAGCUGUCAGCUCAGCACGCAUUAAAGUAGCCUGCGCACUUCUUGGAUGUCGAGGUAAUGCAGAGGAGUACUGUGUGCUUUGCAGCAUGCUGGAAGACGACCCCAAUGAAAGCAUGAUUGAAAUGGUACAGUGUGAGCGCUGCAAUAGAUGGGCACAUUUUAAAUGUUGCAACUUUAAUAGCCUAAAUGUAUUUAUGUGCAAAAAAUGUGUAGUAUAGUUUGAGUGUAUUUCCCUUUAUCAUUUGCAUUGAUAACAGUCUGCAGCACAAUGUGGUCUUAUUUAGUUCAUAUUUAUAUUAAUAACUAAUUUUAUUGUUUUACUUGUUUUGUAUUGUGCCUCAAUGAAUUUGAUUAAUAAUCUCUUUUCUAUAUUGUUCUGCUUGAUUAUAAAUUAUCUCAAUAUCUAAUCUUAUUUAUUCAAUUUACAUCAUCAAUUUACAUUAUCAUCUGUUUUAGGGUAAGUUUGUAACAUCUGUCCAGGGACUACAGAUU